rnacentral:lncRNA from 10 species
GAAGUUCUUUUGUAUCUUUCACUCUUCCUUGUUCCUUAUCUCCACGUGUCCAUAAUAACUAGUAUAGCAGAGAUAGCCGGUCCUCAGUAAGUAUUAGAAAAUUGACCAUGCUUGACAUUUUCAAGUACUGUAAACAUUUCCUCCACUGUAUUUUUUAGAAUAUAUCCUCUCUCACUAUUCCUAGUUAUAGCCUUAACCCAAGUCUUAACCAUAUCUUACCUCUAGGACUAGUGCUUCCCUGUUCCUUUUGGCUCAUUCUACGCAAACGAAAAAACAAACAAAAACCAAUCAACCCAUGAGACCACAAUACUUUAAAAAAAAAAGAUCAUAGUAAUCAUCUCGGUAGAUUAUGAUAAUGUUUCUUCCUUUUCUCACCUUUACAUGGCUUCAUUAUAGUUGACAUGAGAUUAAGAUUGUGGAUAUUCGAGGAACGUUCCUGUCAACUUCCUUUCCAAAAGUUAUUACAACUUCCAGCCUGUCUUACCUGUUUCUGGCAG